rnacentral:rRNA from 1 species
UACGGAGGAUGCGAGCGUUAUCCGGAUUUAUUGGGUUUAAAGGGUGCGUAGGCGGAUUUUUAAGUCAGCGGUAAAAUGUCCGGGCUCAACCCGGGCCGGCCGUUGAAACUGGGGAUCUUGAGUGGGCGAGAAGUAUGCGGAAUGCGUGGUGUAGCGGUGAAAUGCAUAGAUAUCACGCAGAACCCCGAUUGCGAAGGCAGCAUACCGGCGCCCUACUGACGCUGAGGCACGAAAGCGUGGGUAUCGAACAGG